AAGUCGUAACAAGGUUUCCGUAGGUGAACCUGCGGAAGGAUCAUUAACACGUAUCCAACGUUAAACCCCCCUGUGAACCUUGUAAAUCAGUCCGAGAAAAGUUUUUGAUUCAGGACCUCUGUCUAAAAGGAUGCAAUCGAGCGCUGGAGCAAGUGGCUUGGUUUCCCCAAGCAGUUAGUAUUCUGAAAGUGUUGCUAAUUGUGCAAGGAUAACGCUUUACGAUUGCUGUAGGCCGAACACCGGCCGGCGACUCGGUCACCGGGCUCACGCCCCCUAGCUCACAAACCCAAGUUAUCUAUAACGGACGCCUCCACAGCAAGUGCGCCGGAGCUUACGUCCAAAACCGAACAACUGUUAACAAUGGAUAUCUUGGUUCUC
rnacentral:misc_RNA from 1 species